UUGCUUCGGCGGGCCCGCCAUUCAUGGCCGCCGGGGGCUCUCAGCCCCGGGCCCGCGCCCGCCGGAGACACCACGAACUCUGUCUGAUCUAGUGAAGUCUGAGUUGAUUGUAUCGCAAUCAGUUAAAACUUUCAACAAUGGAUCUCUUGGUUCCGGCAUCGAUGAAGAACGCAGCGAAAUGCGAUAACUAGUGUGAAUUGCAGAAUUCCGUGAAUCAUCGAGUCUUUGAACGCACAUUGCGCCCCCUGGUAUUCCGGGGGGCAUGCCUGUCCGAGCGUCAUUGCUGCCCAUCAAGCACGGCUUGUGUGUUGGGUCGUCGUCCCCUCUCCGGGGGGGACGGGCCCCAAAGGCAGCGGCGGCACCGCGUCCGAUCCUCGAGCGUAUGGGGCUUUGUCACCCGCUCUGUAGGCCCGGCCGGCGCUUGCCGAACGCAAAUCAAUCUUUUUCCAGGUUGACCUCGGAUCAGGUAGGGAUACCCGCUGAACUUAAGCAUAUCAAUAAGCGGAGGAA
rnacentral:rRNA from 1 species